CACUGACCUGGCCCAGGACACUGCUUCCGGACAGGGAAGGGUGACAGGCCAGCCGGGCCCCAGAGGAGAGACAGCAGCCCAACCGGGAGCCUGGAGGGAGCACAGAACAAUGGCAGCCCGAAGAAAAGGCCAGUACAACCUGUGGAAGCCCUCUCUGGACAGCAUCUCUAGGUAGAUUCAGAAGGAGGUGGGGGAAGCAUCCCUCACCAAUCACGCACUUACUGAACAUGGACCAGGCUGGAAAGCAUGAACACCUUGGUGGGCAACUUCCAAUUAUAUGCAUUCAUAGAUGGGAAGCAUGCUUCAGACAAUACA